UGUUGGAUAGCUCACUCGGUUAAAGCAUUGCAUUGCGAAGCAGAGGCGUGGGUUCGAGCCCCGGUCGUACCA